rnacentral:lncRNA from 1 species
CACAUUAUCUAUUAAUUCUUCUUUUAAAAUAUUGUAAUUAAUCAUUUUUCCUUUUGCCUUUAUAACAAAGAUUGGCCCUCUGACAAAGAUUUAAAACAUUUUUACUUCUGUAACAUUUUUACCUGAUUAUAAAAUUAAAAUCAAGUAGAUUUUUAAAAAAUUUUUAUUUCUAGAACACUAGAAAUCAUUAAUCAGCUUUGAAUAAAUAAGAUGGUGAUAAGGUAAAAUGUUUACUAGUGAUUUUCAUUACUGAAAUUUUAUGAGCCUUUAGC